rnacentral:misc_RNA from 1 species
GUGGUUUUUUGGCAGCGCUGUUGUAGUGUAUGGUGGUAUGUUGGGUUUUGGUGUGGUGUGUGUUGUUGGUUGUGCUGUGUCUGUUGUUGACUUGGUCUUGGCACAGCAACGGACGACGAACACUCGGACCAGACCCAACAGACCUCGCCAGAUAGACGUCUUUGCUUGCUUUGAUGAAACCAAAUCAAAAA